GAUGAACGCUGGCGGCGUGCCUAAUACAUGCAAGUCGAGCGAACGGACGAGAAGCUUGCUUCUCUGAUGUUAGCGGCGGACGGGUGAGUAACACGUGGAUAACCUACCUAUAAGACUGGGAUAACUUCGGGAAACCGUAGCUAAUACCGGAUAAUAUUUUGAACCGCAUGGUUCAAAAGUGAAAGACGGUCUUGCUGUCACUUAUAGAUGGAUCCGCGCUGCAUUAGCUAGUUGGUAAGGUAACGGCUUACCAAGGCAACGAUGCAUAGCCGACCUGAGAGGGUGAUUGGCCACACUGGAACUGAGACACGGUCCAGACUCCUACGGGAGGCAGCAGUAGGGAAUCUUCCGCAAUGGGCGAAAGCCUGACGGAGCAACACCGCGCGAGUGAUGAAGGUCUUCGGAUCGUAAAACUCUGUUAUUAGGGAAGAACAUAUGUGUAAGUAACUGUGCACAUCUUGACGGUACCUAAUCAGAAAGCCACGGCUAACUACGUG
rnacentral:rRNA from 1 species